CCUACGGGCGGCAGCAGUGGGGAAUAUUGGACAAUGGGGGGAACCCUGAUCCAGCCAUGCCGCGUGUGUGAAGAAGGCCCUCGGGUUGUAAAGCACUUUCAGUGAGGAAGAACGCCUGGUGGUUAAUACCCAUCAGGAAAGACAUCACUCACAGAAGAAGCACCGGCUAACUCCGUGCCAGCAGCCGCGGUAAUACGGAGGGUGCGAGCGUUAAUCGGAAUUACUGGGCGUAAAGCGCGCGUAGGUGGCUUGAUAAGCCGGUUGUGAAAGCCCCGGGCUCAACCUGGGAACGGCAUCCGGAACUGUCAAGCUAGAGUGCAGGAGAGGAAGGUAGAACUCCAGGUGUAGCGGUGAAAUGCGUAGAGAUCGGGAGGAAUACCAGUGGCGAAGGCGGCCUUCUGGACUGACACUGACGCUGAGGUGCGAAAGCGUGGGUAGCAAACAGGAUUAGAUACCCCAGUAGUC
rnacentral:rRNA from 1 species